AGCGAACGCUGGCGGCGUGCCUAACACAUGCAAGUCGAACGUGAAAAGGGAAACCUGAGUAAAGUGGCGUACGGGUGAGUAACGCGUAGGUAAUCUACCCCAGAAUCUGGAAUAACCUGCCGAAAGGCGGGCUAAUACUGGAUAGAGCGAGGGAACUCGUAAGAGAGUUUUUCGGGAAAGGGAGCCCGCAAGGGCCUUCGUUCUGGGAUGAGCCUGCGUCUCAUUAGCUAGUUGGUAAGGUAACGGCUUACCAAGGCGAUGAUGAGUAGCUGGUCUGAGAGGAUGAUCAGCCACACUGGGACUGAAACACGGUCCAGAAUCCUACGGGAGGCAGCAGUGGGGAAUCUUGCGCAAUGGACGAAAGUCUGACGCAGCCACGCCGCGUGAGUGAAGAAGGCCUUCGGGUUGUAAAGCUCUGUCGGAUGGGACGAACAUCUUCAUAGUGAAUAGCUAUGAGGACUGACGGUACCAUCAAAGGAAGCACCGGCUAACUCCGUG
rnacentral:rRNA from 1 species